GCGGCCCCGCGCGCCCGAGCGCCGCCUGGAGGCCUAGGGGAGGGGCAGCCGUGGCCCCGGCCCCUGUGGUCCCCGCCGCCCGCGCGUGUCGUCGUCCCCGGACCUGGGGCGCCACUCGGGGCCGAGUCACACCCGAAUGUCUCCGUUCACACGCACCGCAAGCCCGAGUUCCCUGCCCGCACCGACCGUUCCGAGGCACCCCAGAUCCCACUCCGAGCCCGAGCUGUCCCUUGCGUCUCAGUCACCCCCAAGUGUCACCAGCUCAGGUCCCAGUCACCUCCAAAUGCCCCGCGUUUCCCUCAGCGUCACCCACCCCCACCUCGGACUGGGCUCCAACCUCCUCGCCCCAGGCACAGAGCGUCCCCAUUGUGACUGCGUCUAGGUCCCUCUCCCUGUCACCUCAUCGGCCCGAGAGUCAGUUCCUCCAGCCCGGGGUUUCCCUCGGGGUCGCUGCCCAACUCCAGCGUACCCCUCAAGGUCACCUUUCCACCCUCUCCACCCACGUGACUCAAUUGCCGCCUUCCAGAGAACAGAAUGGGCCUGAAAGCAGGGAGUUGGUCUUCGUUAUGAGGCUCUGAGCCGUAUCCCCAGCCACCUCGCCUUUGGCCUGCAGACACCGCCGCAGACCCUGGCCUGCUCUCCGUGCUCAAGCCUGGCACCUUCCAGCCGUCCUCCAGAAAGGCCUGUGUCAUCCCAUCACAUGUGCCCUCCACCGUCCACUAAACAAAGUUCCUCCCUGGUCCCCACCUCGGCCACAAGGCCCCAGGUGUGGUCAGAUCGCCACUUCUCUCCAACCUGACUUUCACACUCGCCUGCUUGACUUGCGAGCAUCCUUCAAAUCCUAAGCGUCACCUCCUCCAGGAAGCCUUCCUUGCCUUCCACAUGACCCUCUGACUUGAGACUCCCCGGGAACCUGCACUCGUCUGCCUCCCCACUCAGACACUGCACGGACUGACUUGAUCAUUUGAGUCAAAUGAACAUUUCUUAAACGACACAAAGGUGACCCCUUGCCAGGCAGCAGGUCACUUCCCUGACAGAGGCCAGGUGGGGGCAUGUGCUGCCCACUCCACCCUGGUGCUGGUACCCACUCUGUUCCCCUCCCCACAGGGUCUGGGGCCCUGGGCGGCCCUUCGUGCAGCCUUCUGAGGGCUCCCAUGGGCAGCUUGGUGGGGACCUUCAUGGGGUCCUGGACAGUCCAAAGGGAGGGAGGUGAUGCUGGCUCCUGGGGAACCCUCUCCCUGGCCUCGGAGAGCCUGGCAGUCUGGGAGGGGGCCUGGCACAGCCUCUGGAGGGCACGGCCCUCCGUGGACAACCCCCAAGGAGCCAUGGGGCCCCUACCGCACCCUUACACCUCCUGGCCACCUCCAGCUGGACUGUCACCCCCACGCUGGAGACUCCCACAGACAGGACCGCCACCAGGAGGGGGCAUGUCUGGCUGGGAGGGGCCCGGGAGCCUAAGUCACCCUGACUGGGUUCAAGCUUGGUGCUCUGCCUUCUCUGGCAAAGAAUUUUUCCUUUCUGGGACUCAGUUUCCCCAUCUGUAAAAUAGGAAUUCAUACCAGGGACCCAUGCGAGGGCUAUUGUGAACCUGAAAUGAGUCGAUAUACACAGGCACGUAGGCGGUAGAACAGCCUGAAACACGGAACGUGCUCCUAAGGGUGAGCUCCUCUGACUGCGGGGCGCGCGCGGGACGGCGAAAGCCAAAAUCCAGCCCCACAGCUCUCCGGACGCCCCCACCCCAGGCCGGCUCCCCAAGCCCCUCUCGGACAAUGGUUUCGGCCCC
rnacentral:lncRNA from 1 species